GACGAACGCUGGCGGCGUGCUUAACACAUGCAAGUCGAACGGAAAGGCCCUGCUUGCCGGGUACUCGAGUGGCGAACGGGCGAGUAACUCGUGGGUGAUCUGCCCUGCACUUCGGGAUAAGCCUGGGAAACUGGGUCUAAUACCGGAUAGGAGCCAUUUUUAGUGUGAUGGUUGGAAAGUUUUUUCGGUGUAGGAUGAGCUCGCGGCCUAUCUGCUUGUUGGGGGGGUAAUGGCCUACCAAGGCGGCGGCGGGUAGCCGGCCUGAGUGGGUGGACGGCCACAUUGGGACUGAGAUACGGCCCAGACACCUACGGGAGGCAGCAGGGGGGAAUAUUGCACAAGGGGCGCAAGCCUGAUGCAGCGACGCCGCGUGGGGGAUGACGGCCUUCGGGUUGUAAACUCCUUUCGCUAGGGACGAAGCUUUUUGUGACGGUACCUAGAGAAGAAGCACCGGCUAACUACGUG
rnacentral:rRNA from 1 species